AAGCGGAGGAACGAUAGUGGUUUAAUUCGAUGAUACGCGAGGAACCUUACCUGGGCUAGAACGCAUUCGGAAUCAGGCCGAAAGGCCUGCGCCAGCGAUGGCCGCUUGCGAGGUGCUGCAUGGUUGUCGUCAGCUCGUGCCGUGAGGUGUCGGGUUAAGUCCCAUAACGAGCGCAACCCCUACUGCUAGUUGCCAGCGGGUCAUGCCGGGGACUCUAGCGGAACUGCCAGCGUAAGCUGCGAGGAAGGUGGGGAUGACGUCAAAUCAGCACGGCCCUUACGUCCAGGGCUACACACGUGUUACAAUGGCCGGUACAGAGGGCAGCCACCCCGCGAGGGGGCGCGAAUCCCGAAAGCCGGUCCCAGUUCGGAUCGGAGUCUGCAACCCGACUCCGUGAAGCUGGAUUCGCUAGUAAUCGCGCAUCAGCCACGGCGCGGUGAAUACGUUCCCGGGCCUU
rnacentral:rRNA from 1 species